rnacentral:lncRNA from 1 species
UGUGAGCCGCUGUGCCCAGGCCAAUCCCAGAGAUUUUGAAGAUGAUUUCUCGAUACGAGUUUCACGAAGACUUGAAAAGAAUGUGUCCUCUGUUGUUGGAUGGAGUGUCCUUGAAAUGUUCAUUAGCCUUCUAGCUCCAUUCAGAAGAGCCUCCGAAGUAGAGACCAGAAAUCCUUCUAGUGGGCUGUGCUUUGAGCAGUACUGCUUGUUGACUGCUUUACUUGGAAGGAGAGAUCGACUGAGGUAAGGCUCUUACUAAUGCACGUGCUUUGCUAAUGGUUUGGCCAGAUGAUCAAAAAUGUGGAAGGGGUAAGAUUCAAGGAUUGGUGACAAGGAAGUUUAGAAUAACAGAGAUGUGGAUGGGCCUCCUAGAAUGACCAAAGAAUAUGAGAAUAUUUAUGUUUCAUGUGAACAUUCAUCAAGCUCCUAUUGGUAGUCAGGUAGACAGGUAGACAAGGUGGUCUACUUUGAGGAUGCUGAUUAAUCUCUUCCUCCAGUGACGCAGGGUUUGCUCAGUGGGCUCAUGGACAGAGUGGCCCUGAUGGCUCAGUGGAGGGCUUGGUAUAGGCUUAGCCACAUGGACUCACCAAGACUAACCUGGUUACAGCCGUUGUUGAAUGCCCAACAUUCUACAGCAGAAACCAACCCUGAGCUCCUGACUUGGUGCCAUACCGUGGGGGGACCAACCUGCUGCUUCAGGCCCGGGAAAGAAGUGGACAAGACUCUGCUCUCUUCAUGGAACCGAGUAUUCUAAGGACACAGCCAAGUCAGGAGACUACACCCCUAGUAUAAUAAGUCCUGUGGCUGUACUGAGAAGAGGUCCUGACUCAGAACUGGAGGACAUCAUGGAAGGCUUCCUGGAGGAAGUGCCAUCUAGGCUGAAACCUAAAGGAUGAGUAGAACUAACCAGAUGAAAAGCACUGGAUUUGACUCAUCCCUGCAUCCCCCGAGCACCUCGUGGGUGCCGUAAAGGCAGCUGGGUUGAUGAUGACUGAGUGAAGGAGCGCCUGAGUGGAUGAGCCACUGAGUGAAUGAACUGGAGUUCAUCUUCCACGUGGUCCUCAGCAUCCACUCUAGAAGCCAAAGCCAAGGACACAGCAACCCACCGAGUGCCUUGUCCUCACUCUCUCCAACUGGGGAGUGCCCCUGCGGUGUCAUCUCUCUUUACAGAAGAGAUGCCAUGAGCUACUUUCCUUUCCCCACCUCACCUAACUUCUCUGCUGUAGCCUAACAGUCCAGGACCUGGGGAUUCAGGUGAGACACAGAUUAAGUCCCCAUAACUGACAUUUUCUUCUGAGAAGAAAGCAUUCACAUUCAAGGACUUGAGCAGCUCUGAGCCCCAUGGCAGCUGAGAUGCCACAGUGCGUCAAGUACAGGCACAUGGCAUCUGGGAGGCAGAGCUACAUCCUCUGGGUUGGAUGAUUUCUGCCUUUCCCCAGGGGUUCACAGCUUGCAAUCAUUCUGUAACUGAGGAGUCUGGUGGAAAUGGGGGUAGCAAAGAGAUCAGAGCAGGCAAAUGGUCCUCUGGGGCUGGGAACACUCCCUCUUUCUACCUUCCAACUGCAGGCACAUGUACGUGUCUUUUCAGCCUGAGGGAUCUAAAGCCUUGGGACUUCUGGAUCUGCAAGUGGUCCCUGUUUUGGUAGCUAUUGACUGACGAGGGGCUCUUCGGUAAGUUCUGGGGUGGCAGUGGAGGUGAUGAUGGGAGGGUGUUACAGGGCUCCACAGGCUCUUACAGGGCUCGGGAGCUUAUUUAAGGGAACACCUUGAUUGUCCAUGUGUCGUGGGCCAGAGAAGAAAGGCAGCACUGUGGAUCUUCUGGGAGGAAAGGAGAGGCGUCGAUUUCUGACUCCAGUUUUCUAUGAUCAGCACAGACUCUGUCCCACCUCCUCCCUACAGAGCUUCUGGAUCCUGGAGGAUGGAGAAUAGGCUAAAUUGCACAGGCCAGCUCCAGUCCAUUGGCAGGGCUGCCUAGAACAUGGCUGUGAUGAUCCCAAAGCUCAAUAGCAGAGAACCCUGUGGGGUGCUAGGAGUGUCUGCCAGGGUGCCGCAGGGAAAGGGGAGCAUGUGUGUAGAUGUAGAAAGCAUCUCUGCCAUCCCCUCCCCUAAAGAAUAUAUAACAUGGCCAUGCAGAAAAACACUUGUGAAAGGAGCUGCUGCCCUCAGGACAGCGUGUCAUUGAAAUGGGGGCUGAGCAACCCGUCAGAAGAGUGGGGAGGAGGGACCAUCCUCCAGCCCCUUCCCAGCUCUCUUCUGGAGCCAUAAGCCACAACACUGUCUAUGAAAAAGCUGAGGCCUAGAGCAGAAGGAGUGCAAAAUCCCAGCUACUGCAGGCCUACGCCCAGUGGUUCUCAAAGUGUUGUCCUCAGUCUAGCAGCAUCAGUGUCACCUGAAAACUGGUUAGACAUCCAGGUUCUCAGUUGUUAUCCAGCUCUAGCAGAUGGGAAACGCUGGGGGCGGGACCAGCCAUCUGUGUUUAACAAGCCCCACAGGUGACUGCUGUAGCCUUGAGUGAGGACCUCGGCCAAAAAGAAGGCUCCUACCGUGGCUGUUUGCUGAUGGUCUUCGCAGAGCCUGCUGUCUUUGAGCUUCCUGAGAGAGGGACACUACCCUCGCUUAGCCUGGCAGUGUUGCCCAGGAGGAGGCAGUGGAGUUAAGAAGCCUGGGUCUGAGCUCCUCAGCUGUGCAGACAACUCCUACUUGUUCUUCAACGCUCAACUUUAAGUUCAGUCACCACCUGCAGAAGUCUUCUCCAAAACCUCCCCACCUGGCUGACUAAGGGGCUGGCUUUAUGCUCUUGCAGUACUCAUGCUUCCUACUGUCACAGUUCUGACCACACCGUGGGAAAACGUCUCUAACUAGAGACCUGUCUUGCCUCUUGUGCCUGUAGUACGGGAUGGGUGCCCAGUGUGUGUUGAUUGUAUGAAUCAAUCUCUGUGACUCCAGAGUUCCUUUCUUCAGGAGAUUAGACAUCACCCCUGCAAUCAACAAUGCAAGCCACUGCUGUUUCCUCCAUCCUGAGCAUGAGGAACCUAUCCAGUUUCUCUCUCAGAUGCCAGGGCCAUGAGGCAAGUCCAGCCUUGGCCUAGAACCAAAGAUGGAAACAAAAAGGGGCCAGACUGUGUUGCCUUCUUGAGCCUGGUCUGACUCCUGAGUGGAAGUCUGAUUCCAGGUACAUGAGAUAAGCACUAAUACCUCCAGUUUGCAGAUUAAGAGACUGAGGUCCUGAAGAGGUUAAAGAACUUGGCUCAAGUCACAUAGCUGGUGAGCAGCAAGAUACAAGAAUCAACCCAAGUCCAGGGGGCUGUGUGCCGUUUACACUUCACAUCUGUGCUGCCAGGGCUGUAGCUAUAAAAGCUUGAAAACCAUUACUCUGAGAAUCUCUCUGUUGGGAAAAUGAGUCCCUUCAACUCUAGUUGUUGCCACUGGGAUGCUAACAGAAAGCAAAGUCUCAGAGGAAAGAUGUGGCAUUCCUGAGUGUCUUCCAUGUACCAGGACUUCUAUUUGCUAGCCACUUUAUGUUCCUCAUCCCAUCCUUCUGUGAGGGACAUACUUUUCAGAUGAGAAACGUAAGCUCCGCGAAGCUAAGGGGCCGGACUGAGGUCCCACAGCGAGAGUGUGGAGGAGCCAGGAUCCGAACCCCAUCGCCAGCCCUUGCCAGUUCCAUGAUUCCGGUGCCAGCGCUCGCCUGACCUCCAGGGCUGUCAUGGUGGGAAGGGACUGGAGGGCAUCUGCUGGGCAAAGGAAAGAGACAAACAUCAUCCCAGAGCCUGUCUUCCCUGGGCAAUACCCGGGCCACUCCAGACAUGGCGUCUUUAGCCCUUCCUUGGUCACUGGCCCCCAGGUGAAGAGAGCAUUUUUCUCUGACUCAAGUUCUUGCCUCUGGAUUUGCCAAGCUCCUAUGACAGUCUUCGCCCUUCUGAAGCUCUCUCAGGCUCCCCUUCCAGAAAUCCCGCAGGUUCCACCGACCUCUCUGAGAGCACAGGCGAGUGGUUGAACGGUGGGCUUUAGAGACGGCGCGGCACCAGAGUCCUGUACUGGCUGUGUGAUCCUGAACCUCCUCACUGAGAUUCUCAUCUGCAAGAUGGAGA